GGUGAGGUUCCCGAGCGGCCAAAGGGAGCAGACUGUAAAUCUGCCGGCGAUGCCUUCGGAGGUUCGAAUCCUCCCCUCACCACCA
rnacentral:tRNA from 1 species